GCUAGCGUUGUUCGGAAUUACUGGGCGUAAAGCGCACGUAGGCGGCUUUGUAAGUUAGAGGUGAAAGCCUGGAGCUCAACUCCAGAAUUGCCUUUAAGACUGCAUCGCUUGAAUCCAGGAGAGGUGAGUGGAAUUCCGAGUGUAGAGGUGAAAUUCGUAGAUAUUCGGAAGAACACCAGUGGCGAAGGCGACUUACUGGACACAUAUUGACGCUGAGGUGCGAAAGCGUGGGGAGCAAACAGG
rnacentral:rRNA from 1 species